rnacentral:rRNA from 1 species
AGUGAACGCUGGCGGCGUGCCUAACACAUGCAAGUCGAACGAUGAAGAGCAGCUUGCUGCUCGGAUUAGUGGCGCACGGGUGAGUAAUGCAUAGGUAAUGUGCCCCUUAGUCUGGGAUAGCCACUGGAAACGGUGAUUAAUACUAGAUACUCCUUCUUGUCUCAAGGCAAGUCGGGAAAGUUUUUCGCUAAGGGAUCAGCCUAUGUCCUAUCAGGUAGUUGGUGAGGUAACGGCUCACCAAGCCUAUGACGGGUAUCUGGUUUGAGAGGAUGAUCAGACACACUGGAACUGAGACACGGUCCAGACGCCUACGGGAGGCAGCAGUGAGGAAUAUUGCACAAUGGAGGAAACUCUGAUGCAGCAACGCCGCGUGGAGGAUGACGCAUUUCGGUGUGUAAACUCCUUUUAAGAGGGAAGAUUAUGACGGUACCUCUUGAAUAAGCACCGGCUAACCCUGUGCCAGCAGCCGCCGUAA